rnacentral:rRNA from 1 species
CAAAACAUGUCUUAUUGAAAAUAAUUUUAAGUCGAUCUGCCCAAUGAUAAUAUUUAAUGGCUGCAGUAUAACUAACUGUACAAAGGUAGCAUAAUCAAUUGAUUUUUAAAUGAAAUCUGGAAUGAAAGGAUUAAUGAAAUAUAUACUGUCUCAUAUAUAUAUUAUGAAUUUAAAAUUUUAAUAAAAAUGUUAAAAUUUUUUUAUGGGACGAUAAGACCCUAUAGAAUUUUAUAUAAAAUUAAUUUUAUAUUAAAUAUAAAAUUUAAUUUUAUAUUUAAUUGGGAGAAUUAUUAAAUUUAAUAAAUUUUAAUUUAAAAUAACUUUAAUUUAAGAAAAUUAGAAUUGAUCUUUAAUUUAAAAUUUAUAGAAUAAAUUACCUUAGGGAUAACAGCGUUAUAUUUUUUUAUAGAUCACAUAGAAAAAAAUGAUUGCGACCUCGAUGUUGAAUUAAGAUAAAUUUUAAAUGUAGAAGUUUAAUAAUUAAGUCUGUUCGACUUUUAAAAUCUUACAUGAUUUGAGUUCAAAUCGACGUAAGU